rnacentral:rRNA from 1 species
UACGGAGGAUGCAAGCGUUAUCCGGAAUGAUUGGGCGUAAAGGGUCCGCAGGUGGCAAUGUAAGUCUGCUGUCAAAGAAUGAGGCUUAACCUCAUCAAGGCAGUGGAAACUACAUAGCUAGAGUACGGUCGGGGUAGAAGGAAUUCCUGGUGUAGCGGUGAAAUGCGUAGAGAUCAGGAAGAACACCGGUGGCGAAAGCGUUCUGCUAGACCUGUACUGACACUGAGGGACGAAAGCGUGGGGAGCGAACAGG